rnacentral:rRNA from 1 species
UACGUAGGGUGCAAGCGUUAUCCGGAAUUAUUGGGCGUAAAGAGCUCGUAGGCGGUUUGUCGCGUCUGCUGUGAAAACUGGGGGCUCAACCCCCAGCCUGCAGUGGGUACGGGCAGACUAGAGUGCGGUAGGGGAGAAUGGAAUUCCCGGUGUAGCGGUGAAAUGCGCAGAUAUCGGGAAGAACACCCGUGGCGAAGGCGGUUCUCUGGGACGGUACUGACGCUGAGACGCGAAAGCGUGGGGAGCGAACAGG